rnacentral:rRNA from 1 species
UACGUAGGCAGCAAGCGUUGUUCGGAGUUACUGGGCGUAAAGGGUGCGUAGGCGGCUCUAUAAGUAUGGUGUGAAAUCUCCCGGCUUAACUGGGAGGGUGCGCUAUAGACUGUGGGGCUAGAGUGUGGGAGAGGAAAGUGGAAUUCCUGGUGUAGCGGUGAAAUGCGUGAGAUAUCGGAAGGAACACCAGUGGCGAAAGCGGCUCCUGGUCCAGCACCGACGUUCAGGCACGAAAGCGUGGGGGAGCAAACAGG